GGUCUUAUGGCCCAAUGGUCAAGGCAUCUGACUACGAUUCAAUCAACUAAGGUUGUUCGGAUCUGUUAUCAGGGGAUUGCAGGUUCGAAUCCUGCUAAGAUCG
rfam:Tilletiaria anomala TBC 951 K437scaffold_63, whole genome shotgun sequence.